CGGUCCGAGCGCGGUGCUGAGAAGGGGCCGCGUCCCCUCCGUCUACGUGGGGGUGGGGGGCCGUCCCGUCCCAUCCCGUCCCCUCCCCGCCCAGGUGCGCUCCGUGCCCCGGGGCCGCCGGGACGGAGUCGCCCGAAGGUUCGGUGCCGCUCGGUUGGCCGCGUGGUUGUGAUGAUCGCGGAGCCGCGCGCUCGGCUGUCAUCGCGGAGCGGGGCUGCGGUGGCUCCGAGCCGCAUCUCAGAGCAGCGGCCGCCGGGGUCGCUUGGCUGCACCAUUUUGCUUUUGGAGCGGACCCGUGCUGUCCUGCAGCCGCUGCUGCGGGAAAAAGGCUCCGGCCGUGAAGGUGCGGGCGGUGCUGCGGCAAGCAAAGCGAUCGACGUGAGGCAGGAGCGCGGCUUUGCGGGGUGAUGCCGGUGCGGAACGCGGGGGCGAUGCGUGGAUGCUGAGAAACGUCUUUAAACCAAUAACCGGAGCGGAGCGCUGACCCGGCUGAAGCAUCUGGGGCUUCGUUGCGUGAACUUGCUGUGGUUCCCGUGGCCGAAGGGCUCAAUAUGGCCACGCAGGGCUGUGGGCCGCAGGCAGCCUGCUGUGCCCCAUCCUUUGAGGGGGGGGGGCUGCCCCUGGGCCGGGGGGCUGCGUGUGUUGUGUGAGUUCAGAGCUCACAGACAGCUGUGCUGUGUGACCUUUGGGUGCCUGCAGCUGUGUGGAUUUCACCUGGAUGGCCCAAAAGCUCUUUGCAGUUGUGUUCAUUGCUCAGAUAAUUUUUUUUUACUAUGAUCACAUUCAGACUUCUGCUCUCUCCUCCUCUGUGCAGUGCAGUGCUGCCCUUCCUGCCGUGCUGUUCAGGACUCCUCACAUGGCAGCCGAUGGCCUUUUCAGUCUGAGCAUCAGCUCGAGAGAAAAUGUCUUAUCAAAUCCCAACCCAAACGUCUGGAUUACUGCAGGGUCUGUCUUUGGGAGCACGAUGUGAAUAGCAGCUUUGCUGAUUUCAGUGCUGGGGGGGAUGGCCGACAGCUCCAGCAAUGCAGGCACUGUUAUCAGUGCUUAUAUAACCGCGCUGCUGCGAGUUGGCACUGGAGUUUGUAGCCACAUAGAUUAAUUCUAAGGCAGUGAAACAGGGCAGCUUAAUCCGGGAGUGAGAACUGUAAUGCUGAGUGUUCUCUCAUGCUUCAAAUUGUUCUGAAUUCUGGCUUUUUCCAUUUGCUUUAUUAUAAAUUUGCAUCCCUUGCUCUGCUUGCAGCCGGUGCUGGCACAGUUUCCCUUUCUCUUUAGGAACCUGUCAUGUUAUGGAGGUGGAACCAUAUAAAAUCCUGAAAAUAAGGCAGUCCACUUCUUGAUUUAAAUCCUGUUUAUAGCUCUCUUCUUUGGAGGUCUCACGAGUUGGCCCAGUUUGUGCUUGUAUUUGUUUUCUACUCUGUGGUUGAUGCCCUCGUUCUGCAAUGUGAGCUGUCGGUGCCCACAGUGUGUGAGGUCACUGGGGGAUGCUCGCUGGGAAUGUAUGGAGAUGGGAAAGGACAGGGUGUCCCUGGCUGCAGUAAGGAAGGAUUACCUUUGCUAAACUGAAAAUACCUUCAAGUUUCCAUGACUUCAAGCCAUAGAGUAGUUGGACUGCUGUCAUUAAAUAGGCAUACAGCAGGUCACCAUAUCCAUUCUCAUUCUGAUUCCACGUGAGGAAGGAAGCAGUGUGUCCUUCCUGGUCCUCAGGAGAAGAUUUCCCAGCUCAUGUGAGAGGGGAAACAUUGCUUCCUUUAUAAAGCACUGUUUCCUUUAGGAUCUUCUUAGUGAAAGCCCACCCUCUCUGUGCUCGUGUUGUGAUGGUAGUCUUUGAAUUUUGAUAUCAGUCACCAUUUGGUCAAAAUAUGAGGUUCAGUGGCUUGGAUGUGGGUGCUGUUCUGUCACCUGUUGGAGUGCCACGUGCUGUGGGUGAGGAGGGUACAGAUGUACCAGGAUGUAACCUCUACCUGUCAGGGAUUACUGUAAUACCUGAGCCUCUAUUCCACUGAAGCAGCAGACAUGCUGUCCCCUGAAACCUUUCUGAAGUGCAUGUAGUUCUUAGAUAAGCACACACUGUCUAUGUUUGAAAUCCAGGUCUUUGUGUCUCCUGGGACUCUGGGUGGUGAGCACAUCUGUGAGGACCCAAACUUAACAGCAGUUCUGCUGCUCUGUCCCACACAGCCCCAUUCUACAAAGCAGUACACUGGCCCAUCUGGAGGCAGCCCCCCCAACCAGGGGGUUCUUCUGUCUGAGAGCUUGAGGAAUGCUUAUGGUGAUGCUGCCCCAAGGGCUGGGGCUGGAGCAGCUGGGGGGCUUUGACCAUGUACCUCCUUUACCUUGAGUUGCUCUCUGAAAUGCCAUCCCUUGGUAUUAUUUACUUCUUAUCUUCUCCCACUGCAUAUCAUGUUGUGCUAGGUUAGAACAUUGUGUGCAGCAGCAGAACAAAUCCUCCCACCAGGACUGAAUUGUUUCAGUAUAUGUAUAUGCAUGGCCUUCAGAUAGUUGGCUUCUCUGAACAGUCUGAGGGCAUCUUCCCUACCCAGGGGAAGGGAGGUGAGCUUCAGCCCAGGGUGAGCUGUGAUCCCUCACAUCUGGGGUUGAUGUGCUGGGUGAUCCCGUCAGAGCUGCCUCCAUGUGCUGCUCCAUGCAGCCAUCCCUACACAGCAGCUCAUCUCUCUAGUUCUUUUCCCUGCCCUCCCGUGAGUCACUGGGAUUGAAGAUAUCUUGAUAUGAACAGUUUUGUUCUGGCUGUAUUCUCAUCUGAGUCAUACUGCAGUGCUCUGCAAAGCCUUUUCAUUGUAUAGUGAGUCACAAACUCUGGAGUGAAGGGAAUGUAAAAAUGGAGCACAGCCUGUGUUCCCCCUGACAGUUCUGAUUUCUGUGCCUUUUGCUGCUGAACAGAUAAUGGCCAUUGCAGCAGUCAUGUCCACUUUCUGAUUAACUCGAUUGGAAAAUGAAGGUGUUUCUUAGACUGCUGGUGUCACUAAUUUAAUCUGUUGUUUGUGCUUUACUGCACAGCAUUGGAUUCACUUUAUUUCUUAGAGUUGGUUAAGGUACUGCAGAGGUCACGUGCUGGAAGGUGCACAGUGGGUGUAGGGAUAGUUGUUUGAGAUGGGGCCUUUGGUACCAGCAGGGAAGGAACCUAGAAUGCUUCUCUGUAGCUCUUAUGUCUCACUGUGAGCUGAGAAGUGCUCUAUAAACAGUGAAGAGAGAGACUAGAUAUGGUUUAGUGGCUUGUGGUAGCAGUGGUAGUGGGAGGACAGUUGGACUGGAUGAUCUCAUAGGUCCUUUUCAGCCUUGUGAGAAGAAAAGAGGCUGCAAGAAGCUGAGCUGUGGAGUACCUGGACUUGAACUUCUGCUCUCCUUAACUGCUGUAAAAUGGUGAAGUUGACCUGAAUCUGUGUAAAUGUGGACUCUGUGUGAAGCAGGCUAGAGGAGAGCAAAACCCUCCAGCGCAUCUUUGAAGUUCUUUCCUUGCAUCCCAACAGUGCUGCUUCUGUUGCACACAGGCAGUAGGUGCAGGGGCAGCUGAAUGUGCAUGGGGAAAAAGCCUGGAUGACAGAUUCCCACCAGUUCAGAAGCACAGCCAUGCUGAAGGUAGCAAAGAUAAGAGCAGGGCUGUGCUCCAGUUCGUGGUUUUGAGAUGGUCUCUCUGAUAGUGUCACCCAGGAGGUUCUUUGCAUGCACUGCUUGGUGCUCUUAUGCAGUAGUAUGUUUUUCUCCCCUGAUGUAUGUGCUGGGGGACCCAGCAGUGUGAGGGGCUGUGUAAACCCAAGGGUGCUGCCUUUUGUUGGCUUGCAGACUCUCAUCCAUGUGUGUUUGAAUGUGUAGGCAAGAGUUCAGCAUGGAAUUAAUUCUGUCAGGUACUCGCUGGCUCUGUGAGGCUCUUUCCCUGCACAUAACAGCUAAUGUCAUCUUUGGAAGUAUUUCUUGGCUGGGGAACCACGGUGAAGUCUGAACUGCCAAAAAACUUGGAUUAGAGAGAUUGUUUUAGAACUUCCUCUACUGUACUGGUGUCCUAUUUCAAUGCUGAAACCAAGAGUCUUUCUGUAAAUUGGGAACAUGUGUCUUAGUCAAACUGGAUGACGUGUUCUUGUCUAGUUGGCUCCCAGUCAGUGGGUAAUGGGCCUUUCUGAAGGGGGGUCAGGCUGGAGGCUGCAUUUGGGAACAGCUGGACCUCUUCCAAAGCCUGAUCAGCAUCCUGCUGCAGCAUUCGUUUCUUCAUGCUUUCAGAAAGGUUAGGUGACCCUGGUUAGCAGAAUCCAAUGUUUUCUAAUUAUGCUGAAGUCGCUUUCAGAUUUUGAAGAACUAACGGUAAAUCCCUGCUUCCCUUUUCUCAUCAGUGUUGGUUGCAUGAGUAACAGUGUGCUCAUACAUCAGCCCCACUCCUGUCUCUUUGAUCUGAGGGAACUGCAGCACAAUGGCUGACCAAGAAAUGUGGAACUGAGACAGUUUUUGAUGGUUGAUUUACUGAAGUAAGGCACAGAAGGGUUUCUGUAUACCAUACAUCCAGUUGCACAGCAGCAUAUGGUAUACAGACAGGGAAAGAAGUCAACCUCUGCCAGCUUUCUGUCUGCAGCCAUACUUUUUUGCUGACCCAUGCUGUGCUGCUACGUUUUCAGAUGGUCUCCUGAGGGCUCACAGUUUCUGGAAACCCUGGCUGUGGAUUGCUGCACUCUGGUCAGAGAACAACACUUCUAAAUGUAUGGUUUUAGCAAACCUAACUAUGCACAGAGGUAAAGGAUGGCUUGGAGAAAUGUGGAAUGCAUUGUGGGGGAAAGAGAUGAGGGUGUGUGGAGGUGGAAACUGUUUGCUGCUUAUGUGUAGAAUCCUGAAAGGUAUUAAUCCUGUGCAGAGAAGAUGUUGUCAGCCCUGCUGAACUUCCCAGUGCUAGGAAACCCUUAUGCUGUGCCUGGCUUGGGCAGCAUCAUGCUGCUCUCAGCUGCACCAGUGGAACCAGUGCUAAAACCAUUGCUCUGCUCACACAGUGGGCAGCUGCUGGCACCUUGGCACUGAAACCACUGGUCCUGUUGAAAAUCUUGCUUUUUUUUCUAUGAGACCUGUGUCUCCUGAUUGGGUUUGAAGCACAAUGUCAAUCUCAUGUGCUGCAUCCACCUCCUCUGAGUGCUGCAGGUGUGUUACGCUUGUGUGCACACAGGUGUCUGUUGGUUUGCAGCAAAUACUGCUCAAGAACUUUCAAUUUUGCCUUUGCUUUCAAAACAGAUAAGCAGGAACAGGAGAUUCAGAUGAGGUUCUCUGAUAUAGUUUGCCACCAAAAUGAUGCAGCUGCUUAGGAAGCUUCUCUUUGGUGUCUAGAUACAAAGCCCGAUCACUGGUGUUCUGCAGGAAGGACCAUGGGAAUCAAAUAGUUCACUUCAUCUUUCUUUUUCUCCUUGAUUCUUAAUGCUUUUUUUUUUUUUUUUUUUUGAGGGGAGCAGAAUCCACGCUCUUACAGUUAACAAAAAGCCUUUGUUCAAACAUUCAUCCAGUAAAACAAGCAAUGCUUCAAGCAGAUGUUGGUGUGGAAUUUAUUGCUGCUUAUUUUUCAUUAUUAGGGAAAGUGAGAAGUUCUCACCCAGAACAUAUCUCAUUAGGCAUGGCUGGAGAUUAAGGGUGGAAGUCAGGUGCUUUCCUCUGUCUUAAUCCCAAGGCUUUGCAUGUGGAUUAAGGGAGCUGUGCACAACUCUUAUCUCUCUCACUUGUAUUUUGGAUUAAAUUUAUUUUUGAACCUGUAAACAAAAAUCUGCCAAUUAAGAAUGAGACAAAGGUUCGGUGCCUUUGUCACAUUAUGUUUCUUGAUGCAGCAUCUUCGGUCAGCUGGAGGAUGGGCACCUCCAGAGCUCUGGCAUCUUUCUUUUAUUUCCCCCCCCAGCCCCCUUUUUCCCUUUUAUUUUCCUGCUCUUUCUUCCAGGACAAGGCUAAUUUUACACCUCUUUCCUGCUAGUUCCCACCCACCCGCACACUUGGUGGUGCAAAGCUCUUAUAACUAAGCUCCUGGUGACUGUCAGCUCUCCUCUGGUCUCUGUUUUGUCUUUUAGCAGUAAGCUUUCUACCAGCUACAUUGAGAUUUCCCAUUCCCCUUGAGCGGGUAGGAGAACUUGGCUUGGUUUCAGCUGAGCGAGGUUCCCAUCGCUGGGGGAAGGGCUGUGGUGUCUGGGAAUUUCUUUGCUCUGAAAUUCGGGCAGGGCUCGAGUAACCUUGAAACAUACCAGGAUCAUCUUCUGGACUGAACUUUUUAAACCAGCUUGCGCUCUUGAGACAUGGAUAAGGCUUAAAAUACUUGGACGUACUGAUGUGCUGGAAAAUUGUCUCAAAUAAUUAAACAACACCUCAUAACUGCUGCCCUCUGAGCAAGGCUGUCUGCUGCUCUAUGUGCCAUCCUGCUGCCUGCUCGCUGGGGAUGAUGAUUAACAAGACAGGUGAACAAACACUGAAGGAAGAUUGAGGUCAUGCAAGACUUGCUGUCCUGGAGAUGCACUCAGAUGACAGUGGCUGAGAAAACUUGUUGCAUGACUGCAGUGAGAAACUAGGAAUUGGUUACAUGCAUCCCCAAAUGAGAGAGCCUUAGCUGCACCAUGAAAGGGUCAGUGGGUACCUGGCAAAUAGUCCCUGUGAGGGCAGGGUGCUGCUGAUGCUUUCUCCUCUUCCCUUGUCUUAUAUAUAAAAACAGGUCAAACUCAGCACACUUUCACACUGUGAAGUCUUUAAUCUCAAGGUUUUUUUUUUCUUUAGAUUUCUGGUGGUGAUCAACUUGCAGGUUUUCAGGUCCGUUCUCAUCAUGUGAUCUUUAGUAAGCCACAGAUGUGUGUGCUCCUGUAAAGCAGUCAUCUGUGUGUGCUUAGAGCUGCAGGGCUGUUACUCUCUUGCCAAAAGAACAGAGGAGGGGGGAAAGGUUAGCAUGCAGGGCGUAGGUAGGGAGGUCAGUGUAACUCAGUCCUGAUACUUGUAUUGCUUUCCUUCUCUGUGUGCUUGAAGAUGAUGGUAACAUUUAGAACAACUUUUGCUUUUCCAUGGCUUUUCCGUGGCCCUGGGCUUGUUAGCUCAGACGUGGCUGUGCCAGGCUUCUUUGGAGUUACAUUUGAACAAGGAAGCAUAUUUUACUUCAGUGCUGAGAGCAGCCCUGCAACCAUCCAGGGGAAGGAGCUGCCCCUCACCCCCCACCCCUGGAGCUGCAGCUCAGGUUGGGGUUUCUUUGCUUAGUGCUAUGGGCUGGCUCUGCCUGGUCAGUCCCAGAACAGUGCUGCACAUGCACCAAAGUCCUUUGCAGUGUGAAAUUAGGGGUGAAAGAUAGUGCUGGUGAGUCCUAACAAUGCUGGGCUUAUUCCUGGAUGGGGAGAACCUGGCAUGUGGAGAAUGGAUGUUUCACAAAUGUGCACCACAUUCAGAUGUGUUGUUAUGCCAGUGCUGGUGUCUGUGCAUGGGCACCCUUUUCAGUCUAUAAAACGCCGCUGUUCAUGCAGUGAAUUUAAACAAGCCUGCUAUUCAACACUGAAAUUCAAAAUAACUCCAAAACCCAAAUGGAGGCACUUGAGUUGCAUAAUGGUGUCUGUUACAAGAGGGCUCUGGCAGAUGAUGUAAUGCCCCUCAGAUAAGGGCGGGCUGUGGGACAGGAAGGGGGUCUGGGUCUGGGUAAUGGUAGCAGAGCUAUCUCCCGGGUGUUAAUUAGCAAACUUGAAUAAUCCCAAGGUCAAUUAGGUUAUAGUUGUGCAUGUGGAAAAAAAAAAAAAAAAGACUUGUUGCUCAGUACUGCCUGUUGUUUCUGGCAGUUAUAAUUGCUUUAGUGUCCAUUGGCAGAUCGAUGGGCAGAGCAGGACCUUGCUGUGCAUUAGGUUUGCUGCUUGGGAUGGGUUCUCCUGCAGCCUCACAGUGCUCCCAAGCUCCCAGUGAGGCUGGCUGUGGCUGCUGGGAGCACUGGGACCACAGUUUGCCUUCCCUUCUCACUGCUGCAAUUGUCGCUCUUUGCAUCUGGGCUCAGCCUGCAGCUCUGUUGUUUGAGCACUCAGAACAGAUGACUUUUACUGUUCCCGAAGCCUCCAGCAGUUUUGUGGUGUGUUGCUUUCCUUCCUUUAAGCUUAUGUUGAACUAUCCCUUCCUUGUGUCCUUCACCCUAGGAGCAGCCCUUCCUCCUCUUGCUGUGUGCUGACAGUGCCCUUGCACCCCUCUCUGCCUGCUGGAGGAGGUUGGGAUGAGGCUGCUUCCCUGCUCUGCUCCUUCACCCCUUUCUCUCCUGUUUUACAGUAUUCACUCCAGGAAAUGCUGAGAAAGUUGAGAGUGGUGGAAUUCAUGAAAUUCAAGCUGUGCUUCAAUGGAAACAUGUUUUCAAUUUCUGCCUCCUUGGGAGCCCGGCACUGAACUGCAAUUGUUAGAGCUGGGGGUUGGGGCUGGGAUGAAUGGAAGUGGUGGAGGCAGUGCUCAGUGCAUCCUGCACUGGGCCUGGCUGCUCUCUUGCACUGCAGGACUGCUGUGUGACUUGUGAUGGCUGCAUUCAGCUGUCCAGAAGCUGUCCAGGUCUCUUCCUGUGGAGUUCACUCUGGCUGUAAGGCCUGAGUGGCAGCAAGGUGCUGCCGUGGGAUGUGACAGAGGGACCAGGAGCACAGAAAGCCCCUUUGAGUGACCUGCUGCUGACUUAAGAUACAAAUUAAAAUGGUGACUUGAAAGCCUUUGGUAAAACUCGUUAAUUCAUUCCUUCUUUAAUUAGAUGCCCAGCAACAGGCUUGUAAUUCUCAGAGCCUAGGAGCAAUUGUAGUUGUGACAAACUGUGCCGCAUCAAUUGCAGAACUCUGAGUUUUGGUAAAUGCACCCCUAGUGAGCUCUUGGUUUGCUUUUGGAAGGGUAGAGCAAUGAAGGAAGUGGCUGAGAUGCUCAGCGUGUGACCUGCAUCAGACCUUGUGAUGGUAAUGAAGAGGAAAGGGUGGAGCUGCCCUGCUGAUGUGCUGCUUUUCGGUGAAGGUGUCAUCAGAUAACUUUCAAGUGAAGGUGGAAGGAGAGGAGAUGUAAUAACUUACACAAAUGUCUUCUAAUCAAAAUAGUUCCUUCUGGAAUUCUACUUUUCCAAUAAGAAUCUGACUAGCUGCUUGCUGGCUUUGCACAUGCAGCUUGUUUUGCUGUGUGGGAUGGGGAAGCAGCUGAGCAUUCUAAAACAAAAAGUACCAGGUGCUUUUUCUUGAGUCUUCUGGGGCGUGAAAAUGGAUGGUAAACUUGCAUCGUGUUGUCAUCUCUUCCUGUUUUUGAAAGGAGGAAGGAAACUUUAGGGCCCCAACAAUACAUGGCUUGGGCCUGAGAAGUCUGUAUUUCUGGAGGAGAACUGGAUGGAAGGUUAAAAAUCCAUCAGAGAAAGAGUUGUUUCUACCCCCGUUGCAACUCUACUUGUUAGCUCAGAUUGCUGAGUACAGUGGUAGAUCCUGGGAACAGGAUCUCCAUGUAGCUUCGGACUGACAGGCUGUCAAGUGUGAGCAAUGCUGGAAGGCAGAGACCCAGAACAAGUCUGUGGUGGAGAUAGUUGGCUGUCACUGUGCUCAGACAGACACAGUUAAAAAGAUAGGAUGUUUUCUUUUCUUAGGAUCUGAACUUGGGUAAGGUUAAAGUCAAUGCCUUGGACUACAGUGGGCAGGAGUAAUUACACAAGGCUACAACAGAGGUACUCCAUAAUGACAAGUGCAAAUGCACAUGUUCCCUUAAAAGGUAAACUUCUAAUUACAUUAGGAGGCAGAAAAAAAGAGAAUCAUCUGUGUUGGUCUUUUUUUUUCCUAUCUGGAUGUAGUGGAAAGCAGCUCUAGCACAUCCAGUGAGGACAGAAUGAUUUACUUGACACUUCAACUGUAGCUAAACAGAAGCCUUUACUUUGGAUGAGAGUGCUGUUCUCAAAACACCACAUAAUGCUUCCUGUGUGCCUCGUGCUGUUUCAAAAUGUGACCUGUGUUUUCUGUGUCCUCCCAUCCCUCCCUGCAGCCUGAGUUCAUGCAGGUGUAUGGGCUGAGCAGUGGUGCUGGCUGGGGCAGGGCUCCAUCCCUGAGCAAUUCUGUAUGUGUGCAGGGAAGUUCUUGCAGAUGUGGAAACUACAGAUGUAGAAUCAGCCUGAGUAAGCAAACUGAUGGCAGCAACCAGUUUACAACAUUGAAACAGCCUUUUGUUCCAGUAAGUAUAACAAGGCAAAAGUCCUGGUUGACCUCAAGACCAGGGCCAGGCCUGGUGUGCUGAUGGGCUUGUGUUGUAAACACCUCAAAUUAAAGGGUGAACUAAAGGUGAUGACUACAAAAUCCAUCCAGUCCCAUUGAGGAAAUUCUCAUUGUGGACACAGAGUGGUUGAGGAUGUCUUUCCAGUGCUGUGUGAGCAGGCAGCUCUGGGAGAGGCAGUGUGUUGGUAAUGCUGGGAGCACGCUGCUGAGGUGUAAGUAACGAGGCCGGACAGUUUACUGCAGCUCUGCUGUUUUUAUUAGUGCAGCUUUAGCCUCGGGCAGAGUGGAGGUUAUGGUGGAAGGAGGAAGGGUUGUGCUGUGAACUUGCAUCUUCUCCCAGCAGAUGAUGAGAAGCAAGGUAUGGGGAUCUCCUUACCCUAAUCCCCACUAGAGCGCUAAUUCUUCUUGUUCCUGUACACCUUUCUUAACCCUGAAGUUCUCACUGAGGCUGCUGGGUCACAUGCAUGCCUUGCUCGCUUUCCUCUUUGGUGUUUGCAUGGGUUCUGCUGUUGUCUGUUAAAAUUCAGUUGCCUGCUGUUCAUUUUUUCAAUAAAAUAUUGAUUUCCAAGAAUGCUGUUUGUCUUACUACAGUCCCUAAGUACAUUAAAUAGCUAUUUGCUAGCUAUUGUGCCUUCUGCCUGUGACUGACCCACCUCUUCAUGUGUUCCCAGUGCUGAGGAGCACUGCAGCUCAAGGCUGCCUGGUGCCUGAGUCGCUCUCUGCUGAUGGCAAUGGAGCAUGGUCAAGGAAGGUGUCCUCUGGGACCAGAACAGCAGCACAUCCAGCAACUGAGAUGUAGUUCUGCAGGUAUAACCCAUGGGCUAGGCUUCCAGCACUUAGUAAUUACAUUAGGUUGAUUUGUGCUGUCUUUGCUAAGAGUAACCUUGUUUACUUGGUGCAGUAGGGUUCUAAGAAGGAACCACUGACAUCUUAACCUGGUUUGGUUCUUUCCUUCCUGCCCACAAACGUGUACAACGCAUCUCUGAUACCAAAACUAUCUGUGCAAGAUUUCUACUUUGGAGAUGUUCUCAUCCUGACUCUGUCUCACUGCUACCUUCUGGCAACCCAUCGGUCUGUUCUGAGCACUCAGGACCUGGGCAAGCAGGUCCUGAGUGCUCUGUGCAGCUGCACGCAGACUGGUCAGAGGAGAGCCUGCAUCCCGUGUGCUGUGAGCAUAAAGCCAAUUCUUCAAGGGCUGACACUAUUACAUACAGCUUCUGCAAAUGACAGUGUAACCUUCAGCUUAGUAAGCAGAAAAGUGCUUUAUUUGAUUCCUGGUGUUAGGACCGGAGUCUGCAAGCUGCCUGGGCUGCUCUCCUUGCUGUUUAACAUGUAACUUCCAGCCAGCCCCUCUCCUUGUGCCCCUGCUAAUGGCUCCUGAGCACAGUUCUGCAUUCCAGGCACGUUCUCAUCCCGCCCCGCUCGCUCGGGCUGGGUUAGUCAUGCAUGUCACUGUGUGUCAGAUCUGCCUCUCUCUGCUCUCUGAAUCCUUGCUUUAUAAAAGACAGUAAUCAACAAAAGGGUGGUUAAAGAUGCAGAGCUUGGUUAUAGGCUCUUGUCACCUCUUUCACUGUGAUCGUUGGACUAAAGAGAGCAUUUUAAGCACAGAAAAAAUUCCAGGGUCCUGGGAAAGUGGCUGAGGCCCCACUGCUCAACUGUGGGGCACUCACUGAAAUUAGUGGGUUCCAGUGAUGUGACUGUGAACCACCUGUUUUCUAGGAGAAAAUUAAAUGAAAGCUUAAUGCCGUGCCAUUCCUCACAGUCAAAUUGUGCCUCUGGGAGUUACUGUUAGAGCUCCCAGUCACUGUGUGGGGAUUGUGUCAUGUCUGUAAGAGUGUGCAGCAAACUGCUUGGGUUCCUUUGCUUGCAUGUCUUCUACCUGCAGGUAUAAUCUUGUGGCUACUUAAUCACUUCCAUAGCAACCAGCCUGUCAUAAACAGGAUUAUGGUGUCAGUAAGGGUGCAGGACAUGGAGAACCAAGGCAGGAAGUCUCCCCUCAUGCAAAUACCCUCACUGAUGUGGGAUAAGGAGGACAAUACAGAGAGGCCUGCAAGGGAAUCUGCAGAAUCCCCAGGAAGGAAAUCCGCCUUUUCAGCGAGAAUGCUCAUUUGACAAGCUGCCAGUUCUGAGCUAAGCCUCAUUUAAUAAAGAUUUAGUCUGUGGGGACCUGUCAGUGGAAACUGAAUUUGGUGAGAGUGUCUCAUUCUUUUCAUCACUGUAGUGCAGAGAGGCUUUCAGCCAGCAUUAUGGAGAAACUAGGGAUAAGAACAUCCAGUUUGGAGGACCCCCUUACCUCUGGGAAUGGUUCCUUGCUGUGUAAGAUGGAGGUUGCUGAGUUAGUAACAGCUAAGGGAAUAAAAGGAUUGUUAUUUGACUUCAACCCACUAGAAUGCCAGCGUUCACUGCUGAUUAGCAUGGAUUAGAUCUGCAUUCGUGGGCAGGAAAAAAAAUCCAACCCCAUUGUUAAGCAGAUCCUUUCUACUUAAUGCUCUCCAUCUCUCUUCGGGUUGUGAGGUGAGAUGCUGUGCUGAAUUCUAGCACCUGCCACCAUGUAACCCAUGGGAGCUGAGGUGUCUUAGAUGUACCUGCACUAUAAACUGUGAAACCACAGCUCUCAACCAACCAAACUCUGGUGCAGACUGCAAUGCGUGCUGGUUAUUGCAACAAACGGUGUAUCUGAAGGGCCUUGCCUUUUUGGCUUCAGCGUUGCUGGCUUCUGUGAGUUGGACCAAAUAUAAAGAUAACAUGGAAAGUCUUUAAUUAUGAAGUAAGAGGUCAGAAUGUUAGUAUGGAGGAAAUGGUGAUAAAUUUUUAAUCAACCUAGCCUUGUUCUCAGUCAUUGCCUGUACAAGAGCACUUGAGAAUUUAAUCUGAAUUAACUGGAGGAAUAAAUUCAAAGCAGAUUAGUUAAACCACUUUAAAUGCACUAAAGUGAAUUAAACUGCAUUGAAUUAAGGCCAUUCUAGUUAAACUACAGUAAAUCCCUGUGUGAACACUCAUUUGUAAUUAAAGUGGCUUUAGUUCACAGCUCUAAUUCCAAUUAACUCCAGAAUGCCCUUACCUGUGCAGGUUGUUUCUCAGGACAGAGGAAACCAGCCCAUGUUGUUUACCCAACCUGGUUGAAUAGAUUUGAGCUAUCUAGUCAUGUUAGAUGUUUCAACUGCGGAUCUGUUUUAGCCUGGUUAUUGCCCUCAGGUGAUUUAAAAAAUAAAAAUAAAGAAGCAUGACAUAAUCCUUGGCAUUUUCCUUUUUUUUCCCAGAAAGGAAAGCCUGUAGCCAAAAAAGCCAAAGGCGAAGUGUUGGCCUAUAUUGCUACUCCAGUGUGGACUUGCUGUUAAUAUAUCUAUCUGUAAUGUACUGCGUUUCUGUACAGCGUGCUUUCCCUGGGAGAUGUCUGUAUAAGGAGAUAAGACAGUAGAACCUGUCCUCUGUUUCCAUGGUGCUCUUCCUCUCUGCCAAGGGAUCCCUAAUGAAGGAGAAUACAUCCCAGUACCGUGGGAAAAGGCUCUUCCACAGCACGUUUCCUGCCCAGCCUGGCUCUCCACUGUGUUGAAUACAGUAAUUGGCCUGGGAAGGCCUGUUCCCCAGGCAGAGGAGAUAGGGAUGGUUUAGUGCUGAGAUCAGUAGUGACUUCCAUCUCCAUCACCCCCCCCCCCUUUCCAAUUAGAUUCAGCGAUGCAUGGUUGGCUGUGUUUCCCCUUCUCUAGAGGCUGUGGGAUGAAUGACAUCCCGAGACAGUGAAGCACCUCAGUGAACGCCACAUACAAUGCUUUCCAUCAGAAGGGGUACGAAAUGAAAGUCAAGUCUCUGGACUCGCAGCAGCCCAUACAGAACAAGCUGAUGAGGAGUCAAAAUGUGCUGCUCCCGUUGCUGGCAUUACACAGAGUUUGGUUUAGUAGGACAUAAUUACUUAUCUGUGAGUACAUAAGCUCUUCAGAUGCUCUAAGGUCUGCAAAAAAGGUGUAGGAAGGAGAGUGGGCAUGAUGCUAUCCCACAGAAGUUUCUUUUCUUGCUAAGAAGACUUCCGUCCUUCAUGGAAUAAAUAGAGAUGAGUGCUGCUUUGGCAGCAGCCCAGUUUGCUUCAUUUGUUCUUCUGGGUGAACGUUUUUCUCUUCCCACACUCCUUUAACCUCUUAUGUCUGUUUUAUUAUCACAGUCUUAAGUCACUGCAUGGAAAUCCAGAAGGAACGUUUGUUACAGAUUGCGUGGAAAGCUUUCUCUUGGCAAAUGCUAACUUUAAGGUAGAACUAUAAAACGGUUUUCAAUCUGGCAAUGAUUAAUACAGCCCUGUUGUUGAGAUGCUCAAAAGCUAUAGAUGUUGGAUUUUCUAUUUUGUCGUGUGGGUUGGAAUUGCAGAGUUUAAGAGGAAAUAAUUGUUAAACUAUUGAUGGAAGAUUAAAAGCAAAAUGGCAUGAUUUUUGGGAACCACCUGAGGGCUUUCAGCGUUGGUCUCAAGUUUCUUCUUGAGGUUUUAGUGGACUUUAUGACUGGUAAUAAAAUAGCAAUGCAAUCCAGAAAUAACUAUUGCCUCUUCCAUGUGAAUAGUUGUUCACUAUGCCAUGCUGCUGCUAAUAUAGUUCAGGUCAAGAAAAUGAGGUAAUUGGAAGCUGGAUAGCUUGAAAUGAGUAAAACUUCAGUUAAUACACACUGAUUCAAAAUAAUCCAUGUGCUUAUUCAGGAUUAACUUUCUAACCCUGUGGUGGUGCCAGGAUUUAUUGUGCCAAGUAACCUUUGUGGCAGGGAGAGUUGGAGGUAGGAGGACUCCCUCAGCCAUCACUGCUCUGUAGUCAGGUGAUGAACCAGCAGCUUUUCUGGCAUUGUUAGAUCUCGACGCUUCUGUGAGUGUAAUCCAACACUUAUCUCAUGUUUUAUAGUGCUUCAUCUUUAUUUUGAGCUUCCUUCUAUUAGGAAAUGUACUCAGAUGUACCUUGUAUAGCCCUUUUCUGUUGUGCAGAUUGAUACUCCCUUUCUUGACUGCAUUUGCGAUGGCAAUUUCUCAUGUGAGGACACUUCCUGCUGGGGAGGAUGUAAUGGAGUAUCCAUCCCUUAAGUGCAAUUUCAGGAGCAGAAAUUAGCCUUCUAGGACCAGGGAGAUGAGAGAGACAUUCAUGUAUGUAAUGAUGUAGAUCACAGUUGGGAACUUGUGGCUGGAGAGAGCUGCAAACAGCUAUUUUGUGUGGACAUUUAUCAUCUAAUAGACGUGUUGGUUGAAUCUGUUUGUAGUAACAGAAGCUGUGGUCCUGGAGGCUGUGAAUUGUGCUGCACUUAAGGCCAGUCAGCAUAUAUGACCUUGGGUGCAGUAUCAGCACCUAAAAGUACCCUAGUGCAAUGUGCGAGCUCCUGGCUCAAUGGAGCUAACCAGCACAGGGGUGUUUUUGUGGGGGGAGCUUCUUGCCGUGCCCUCUAUUUCCUACUGUGAUGGUGCCUCUCUCUGCAAGGGAACCUAGAUGUUUUCUGCCCCUUUUGGCUUCUUAUUCCCAUGGAGAGGGUGAAUGCCAUGAACCCUGGCAGCCAGUUGGAGCUGGGGAAGCUGUUAAUGCUGCGGGAGGCUGCUGAGCACGAUCCUGCAUGAGACCAAGAGUGUUCAGGUUUCACAGUGCCUUUCCAAGCUAGCAGUGCUGCUCUUGGUUACUUCCCUGUGUACCACUGUUAGCUUUUAUUUUGAAAGAGCUUCUGAACACUGUAGUUUUGUCUCCUGCCAGACAGGCUGAUACCACUUGGAUUUACACUCAUUUUCAGGGACUGCUCGGUCUCCACUUCUGCUAUUAGUGUCAGCACGGUGGUAAAAUGUUGCUCCUCCAAGUUGCCUUUGUUUUCCUGUAAGGGCAGUUCAUGCAUCAUUUGCGAUAAAGGUUCUGAUAGUUCAGCAAAUGUUCAAAGACGAAUUGAUGCUCUUUUGUGGCAAAAGGCCCAGUGCAUAACUUUACAUUUACUUGGGAUAAUGUGGCCUUGGAUAACCGAGUCCCAGAUUUAGUGUUGCAGGAUAAAAUGUCUGAGGGCUUAUCCAACCUCAGCCUCCCUUUUUAAAUACUGUUAUUUAAUCCUGAGAAGCAGGCACAGGCAUAUCUGCGGUUGCAACCAGGCUUUCACUGCCAGCCAUUCUUUGGGUCCUAAACUGACUCAUCAGUCAGAAAGAUUAAUAACUGCUCUGCUGGAUGAUUUCACUUGUUGUCAUGGCACGUGUCCAUUAAUGGAAAACAAAUAUUCUCUGGAAAAUGAAACACAGAUCUUGGUGCACUGGCCAGCCAAGUCCUUUUGGCUAAAUGCUUACAUUCAGCAUAUGUUAAAGUGUCCCUUCGAAGUGAGGACUUCAGGUUGCUUGGUGCAUAGCAAUCUUUUUAGGUGUUUUUUUUUCUUUUCUUUUUUCCCCCAUUUGGAAGGAUCUGUUCCUCCACAUCUGGAGCUGCAGUGACUUUUUUUUUCUGAUAAAGAGUCUGUGGGAGAAGCUUUUUGUGUGCUGUGCUUUCCAGCAGCAGUGCCUGCUGGUGCAUGCGGGAGGGCUGAGGGUGUGAGCGAAGAAGUGCAGGCGUGCAGUGCAGGAAAUCUUGGCGUUACAGCAGCCUGAAGUGUUUUAAAAAACAACCAACGUCCCCAAGGAGCUUUGGUACGCCGAAUGUGUUGGUUAAUUUAGUACUGAGUGCUUGUGCAUGGCAGGCCUUCAGAAGUGGGAGAACUUUGGGUCUCUGAAGGCAGCUUCCCUCUCGAAGGCCUCUCUCUGCUCAGGAACUCGAACAGCACACACCAUCUGGCGUAAUCAUGGGAAAGGGGGAUUGUGCUUUUUCCCUUCCACCCCCACUUCUUUCUCUCUCUC